AUUGAACGCUGGCGGCAGGCCUAACACAUGCAAGUCGAGCGAGCGGCGGACGGGUGAGUAAUGUGUGGGGAACUGCCUGAUGGAGGGGGAUAACUAAUGGAAACGGUACCUAAUACCGCAUACGCUAGGCUGUACCCAGAUGGGAUUAGCUAGUAGGGGGGGUAAAGGCUCACUUAGUCGACGAUCCCUAGCUGGUGUGAGAGGAUGACCAGCCACACUGGAACUGAGACACGGUCCAGACUCCUACGGUAGGCAGCAGUGGGUAAUAUUGCACAAUGGGCGCAAGCCUGAUGCAGCCAUGCCGCGUGUAUGAAGAAGGCCUUAGGGUUGUAAAGUACUUUCAGCGAGGAGGCGUUACCCGCAGAAGAAGCACCGGCUAACUCCGUGCCAGCAGCCGCGGUAAUAC
rnacentral:rRNA from 1 species